rnacentral:rRNA from 1 species
GACGAACGCUGGCGGCGUGCUUAACACAUGCAAGUCGAACGAUGAAGCCUUAGCUUGCUUUGGUGGAUUAGUGGCGAACGGGUGAGUAACACGUGAGCAACGUGCCCAGGACUCUGGAAUAACCGCGGGAAACCGUGGCUAAUACCGGAUAGGUGCCGAGGCCGCAUGGUCUUCGGUUGGAAAGUUUUUGCGGUUCUGGAUCGGCUCACGGCCUAUCAGCUUGUUGGUGGGGUAAUGGCCUACCAAGGCGACGACGGGUAGCCGGCCUGAGAGGGUGACCGGCCACACUGGGACUGAGACACGGCCCAGACUCCACGGGAGGCAGCAGUGGGGAAUAUUGCACAAUGGGCGCAAGCCUGAUGCAGCAACGCCGCGUGGGGGAUGACGGCCUUCGGGUUGUAAACCUCUUUUAGUAGGGAAGAAGCGCAAGUGACGGUACCUGCAGAAAAAGCACCGGCUAACUACGUG